AUUUUAUUAUAUUUAUUUUUUGUUUAUUUAAUUAUUUAAUAUAAAUAAUUUUAUUGUAUUUUUGUCUUAGUAUAUUUUAUAGAAUUGAUUUUUUUAAUUAUAGUUUAUUGGUAAUGUAAGUGUUUUAUGAAAUAUUAUUUUAAAUUUUUUUAAGUAGAUUUUAUUUAUUGUACCUUUUGUAUCAGGGUUUAUCAAAAUUUUAGUAUUUAUUUUACUUGUCUCGAUUUGGGUUGAUUUAUAAAUAAUUUAUAGUUAAUGUAUCAUAAUUAUUAUUAAAUUAUUUAUAGAAAUGAGAUGUUAAUCGUUUCCCAAGAUAUCUAGUUUCUUAAGAAAAAAUUUAAUUUUUUAAAGUUAUUUGUUUUUAUUUAAUUUUUUAAGUAAAAAUAUUAACUUAUUUAUUCUUUAAGGGAUAAGCUUUGAAGUUAAUAACCUAUAAUUUAUUUUAUAGAAAUAUAAUAGUAAGCUUUAAACCAGCUAUCUUUAAGAUUAAGUUUUAGUUCAUUAUUUUUUAUUUUGAUUUUAUAAAUAUUUUAGGUUUUUUAUUAAGAUUAUUAAUUUAAUUUUAAAAUUUUUGUAAUAAUGAUAGAAUUAGUAUAUUUAUUUGUAUGAAAUUUUUACCUUGUGAACUUAUUAUAAGGAACUAGGCAUAAUUGAUUUCCGCCUGUUUAUCAAAAACAUGUCCUCUUGUUUAUAUUUUGAGGUCUGGCCUGCUCACUGAGCGUAUUUUUAAAGAGCCGCGGUAUUUUGACCGUGCAAAGGUAGCAUAAUCAUUAGUCUCUUAAUUAGUGGCUGGAAUGAAUGGCUUGACGAGAAAUCAACUGUCUCUUAAUAAAUUUUUGAAUUUAACUUUUGAGUCAAAAGGCUUAAAUUCUUCUUUAGGACGAGAAGACCCUAUAGAGCUUGACAUUUUACUUUUAUAUAGUUUUUUGUUUGUCUUUCUAUAUUUAAUGAUGAUGUUUUGUUGGGGUGACAUGAAGAAUAGAUAAACUCUUCAUUAUUAUAUCAUUUAUUUAUGUUUGUUAUUUUGAUCCAUAAUUUAUGAUCAUAAGA